rnacentral:rRNA from 1 species
GACGAACGCUGGCGGCGUGCUUAACACAUGCAAGUCGAACGGUGAAGCGCCUUCCUUUUUGGUGGGUGUGGAUGAGUGGCGAACGGGUGAGUAACACGUGAGUAACCUGCCCCCUUCUUCUGGAUAACCGCAUGAAAGUGUGGCUAAUACGGGAUAUUCUGGGUCUGUCGCAUGAUGGGUCUGGGAAAGAUAUUGUUUCGGUGGGGAAUGGGCUCGCGGCCUAUCAGCUUGUUGGUGGGGUGAUGGCCUACCAAGGCGGUGACGGGUAGCCGGCCUGAGAGGGUGGACGGUCACACUGGGACUGAGACACGGCACAGACUCCUACGGGAGGCAGCAGUGGGGAAUAUUGCACAAUGGGCGCAAGCCUGAUGCAGCGACGCCGCGUGAGGGAUGGAGGCCUUCGGGUUGUGAACCUCUUUCGCCAGUGAAGCAGGCCUGCCUCGUUUGUGGGUGGGUUGACGGUAGCUGGAUAAGAAGCGCCGGCUAACUACGUG